rnacentral:rRNA from 1 species
AUGGCGUGGCAAUUGCAGCAAACAAUGGCCACGAUGAGUACAUGCUUUCCGACGUCCUCGCCGGCAACGGUGCGCUGUGCCGCGGCGGCUCGGCGGUCUGCCAACUACGCUCCCAGCUCCUGGGAUUACGACUCCCUCCUCCAGCUCUCGCCCAACAAUGGCGGACAGGCAGAUCAAAUGAUGUCACAGGUCGAUAAGUUGAAGGCUGGCGUGAGGGAGCGGCUGGUGGCGGCGAGCCGAGGCGACCACCAAGCUGCGAAGCUCGGGCUUGUCGACACGGUGCAACGGCUCGGCAUCGCCUACCAUUUUGAGGAGGAGAUCGCCGGUAUCCUCAGCUCC